CUGCUUCUCACCACGCUGCCUGGUCCGUUUAUGGUGGGAAGUUCUGUCACGGCCGUCGUUAAAGGAAGACAAAGGUGCAGCGUGUAUGCCUGUCGGGCCCUUCACUCCUAGGGCCACUGACAAGGGGCCAUCCAAAUCUCCUUUAGUUGAUCUUGAGCAAAUCCUGGGCAUCAAAGGACACCGCUGUGGAGCCCUGGUUGGUGGUGAUCACGGGUCAAUGCUGUUUCAUAUUGACGUUGCCACAGGAUCCAGGAUGGUGCUUCCUGAAUGAGAAGAAUCAGAGCGGGUUGGUUAGGUUGGAAAUGUCAUUGCAUGUUAACAGCUGUAACAUUGUCUGAAUAGUGAUGAAUACCAAGUGCUGUACAGGACUUACAACACAUUGAGAUGGUACUGAAGCUACGUGAUGUGAAGAUAUGGCUGUUACUGCAGUGGCCUGGUGGACUGACAGAGUUGGUGGGAUGAGAUGGAGGAGUCUGGAGGUCAAAACAUGAACAAACAAACCAAGAAAAACAUCAGAAAUACUGAUUUAUUACCAACUGUUAAACUCUAAAAUACACAGUUUGUUAUGAUAAAAACAUAAUUUACAACAGUUUAAACUGGGUUCUCUGGAUUAGACUGAAUAAAAGUAUGGUUGACACCAAUGUAAUGUGUAAUAGCAGUUGUGGGUUAAGAAGUUGUGUUCCUUGUUGGCAGUGGAAGCUGGAACACACAUCACCACCCAGAACAUUCUGCUGUUUGUAAAUCAACUUCCUCUGAUCUAGGUUAUGUGUUCCGUGUAACAGAGGUAGUAUCACGUUGACGUCACUGGAGAAGAAUCUGUACUUACCUGAUCUGUGGCCUCGCCUGGCUCCUCCCACAAGGAGGUGGAACAACAUGGGGGAUAAUGGGGGAGGGGUGAUACCAGCCGCUCAACAACAGACCGACAGGCAGUUCUGGGAAACAGAAGGACAUUUCUGAGAAGUCACACCCCUACCUUUGUCUUGACAUAUCAAUUAUUGUUUGGUUAUGUGCAAGCUGUGGCAUAUAAAUGCAGCAUUCAGUGGGGUGAAUAAACUCUGAGCUUUUCUCUGCA